rfam:Gossypium raimondii chromosome 10, whole genome shotgun sequence.
AUUCCAUGAUCUGUACAUUUUCGCAACAAGUCCUUGAAUCAAUCCCAUGCAUCAUAGAGAGAUUCGAAGUCAAGUUGUUAUAAUAUGGUAUUUUAUUUCUAAGCUU